UACGGAGGGUGCAAGUGUAACUCGGAAUCACUGGGCGUAAAGGGCGCGUAGGCGGCCUAGCAAGUCUGGUGUGAAAGCCCAGGGCUCAACCCUGGAAGGGCACUGGAAACUGUUAGGCUUGAGUUCCGGAGAGGAGGGGGGAAUUACCGGUGUAGCGGUGAAAUGCGUAGAUAUCGGGAGGAAUACCGGUGGCGAAGGCGCCCCUCUGGACGGAAACUGACGCUGAGGCGAGAAAGCGUGGGGAGCAAACAGG
rnacentral:rRNA from 1 species